GAUGAACGCUAGCGGUAGGCUUAACACAUGCAAGUCGAGGGGUAUAGUAGCAAUACUAGAGACCGGGCGCACGGGUGCGUAACGCGUAUGCAAUCGUACCUUUCACAGAGGGAUAGCCCCAGAGAAAUUUGGAUUAAUACCUCAUAGUAUAGCAGUUUCGCAUGAAACCACUAUUAAAGUCACAACGGCAAAGAUGAGCAUGCGUCCCAUUAGCUUGUUGGUAAGGUAACGGCUUACCAAGGCUACGAUGGGUAGGGGUCCUGAGAGGGAGAUCCCCCCACACUGGUACUGAGACACGGACCAGACUCCUACGGGAGGCAGCAGUGGAGGUAAUAUUGGACAAUGGGCGCAAGCCUGAUCCAGCCAUGCCGCGUGCAGGAUGACGGUCCUAAUGGAUUGUAAACUGCUUUGUACAGGA
rnacentral:rRNA from 1 species